rnacentral:rRNA from 1 species
AUUGAACGCUGGCGGCAGGCUUAACACAUGCAAGUCGAGCGGGGUGAUGGUGCUUGCACUAUCACUUAGCGGCGGACGGGUGAGUAAUGCUUAGGAAUCUGCCUAUUAGUGGGGGACAACAUCUCGAAAGGGAUGCUAAUACCGCAUACGUCCUACGGGAGAAAGCAGGGGAUCACUUGUGACCUUGCGCUAAUAGAUGAGCCUAAGUCGGAUUAGCUAGUUGGUGGGGUAAAGGCCUACCAAGGCGACGAUCUGUAGCGGGUCUGAGAGGAUGCUCCGCCACACUGGGACUGAGACACGGCCCAGACUCCUACGGGAGGCAGCAGUGGGGAAUAGUGGACAAUGGGGGGAACCCUGAUCCAGCCAUGCCGCGUGUGUGAAGAAGGCCUUAUGGUUGUAAAGCACUUUAAGCGAGGAGGAGGCUCUUUUGGUUAAUACCCAGAAUGAGUGGACGUUACUCGCAGAAUAAGCACCGGCUAACUCUGUGCCAGCCGCCGCCGUAA